GUGGCCAUGGUCAGCUUUAAGGUUCUGAAGCAGAUGUCAUAAAGGCAUCAUUAUCAACGCAAUAGGUCUCUGUGCCUUCUACAAGCUGAUGGACCAAGAGGGUGGCGUUGUGGGGCUUCAUCACCAUGUCGCACAACUUGAGGAAGGGUACCACGUUGAAUGCGUUCAUGAUCCAUCCAGAAAAAGAGAUUGCUUGAACAUAUGCUCCAGCAAAAUGGAAAAGGAAUCAAGAAAAUCAGAAAUGAAGAACAGGAAUUCCCACGGAAAAGCAUUCCAGGAACAAAUGACAAGCCCUUUAGAAAGCAGUCAAUGUUAUAUAGACCAUUAACCAAGUACUAUGACAACGAAUCUGGAAAAUGACAUGGAUGUCACAAGAAUAUUUUAUGCUGCUUCUGUCAAACCUGAAAAGUCAAAAGUAACUAAACUCCAGAAAAAACAAAAGUUGCACAAAAAUUAUAAUCCAAAUUGAAGCAAAAUGAAAAUGCAACUCGAGUUUUAGUAUAAGAAAGUGUAAUACAUUUAUUCUUAACAUAAAUAAAUAAAGAGGAUGAGAGGAAACCUUUGGAGGUGAUGGAUGUGUUUACGGCAUUGACUGUGGUGAUGAUUUGACAAGUGUAUACUUACCUUCAAACUCAUCAACUUGUAUACAUUAAAUAUGCACAGCUUUUUGUAUGUCAAUCACACCUCAAUAAAGUGAUUAAAAAAAAAAGAAAAUGUGAUACAUUUAACCUAAAAAAUACAUUGGUCUUUUUCUUUAAACUUCGCCGUUUUUGUGCUGAAAUUAGAUUUUCUUCUCUAUACUGUUCUUUCUUCUCUGUGCACAGUCCAGUUACGUGACAAAUAAUAUUUACAUGAAC
rnacentral:lncRNA from 1 species